rnacentral:rRNA from 1 species
AGAGUUUGAUCAUGGCUCAGAUUGAACGCUGGCGGCAUGCUUAAUACAUGCAAGUCGAACGGUAACAGAUUCUUCGGAAUGCUGACGAGUGGCGGACGGGUGAGUAAUACAUAGGAAUCUGCCCAUGUAGUGGGGGACAACUUGGGGAAACUCAAGCUAAUACCGCAUAAUUCCUACGGGAUAAAGAGGGCCACUGCUUGCAAGCUCUUGCUACUGGAUGAGCCUAUGUCGGAUUAGUUAGUUGGUAAGGUAAUGGCUUACCAAGACAGCGAUCCGUAGCUGGUUUGAGAGGAUGAUCAGCCACACUGGGACUGAGACACGGCCCAGACUCCUACGGGAGGCAGCAGUAGGGAGUAUUGGACAAUGGGCGCAAGCCUGAUCCAGCAAUGCUGCGUGUGUGAAGAAGGCCUGCGGGUUGUAAAGCACUUUCAAUUGGGAAGAAAGAUUAUGAGUUAAUACCUUAUAAUAUUGACG